rnacentral:misc_RNA from 1 species
GCACUAGUGGUAUAGUGGUA